CUUCAAACGACACGUCGUGCUCCUAAACCUUACAGACUUACAGGAAUCAAACAGGGGUAAGAAGGUAAGCUCCACACAGAACCCCGAAUACGAAAACCCCAAAAUACCCCCUUAAGGGGUAAGUGCCCCCCCAUUAAUUGUCGUUUCCGUUUCUGAGCAAACAAAGAAAGCAGUAAAAGUCCAAAGAGACAGUGAGUCGUGAUGAGUAGAGCAAAAAAUCGUUGGAUAUUCCUGGUUUUAAUCUGUUUCUCUUCUCUCUCUCACCCUAUACCUACACAUGCAUCAACUAUAUUAAUAUAUGUAUAUUUAUGUUGAAGAAGCCGGAUCUAAGAAACAAUUACAGUUUCAUUUCAGUGAUUACAUUCUGUAAUGAGAUUAUUGGUUCUUAGAUCUGUGCUACUUGCCACUCACUGACUUUGGAUUUUUGUUUCUUUAAGAUUUUUUUUUUCUUUUUUUUUGUUAUGAUUAUUUUAGUUUUGGUUGUGUGGGAUGGAGUCACUGGAGGCAGCGGUUCAUCGAUCUCUUCCUGAGAUUUUGUCUGUGAAAAGCACAAAAACAUGAAUCGGUCGAUAAACCUCUGCAUCCAGCGCUCGCUCACUUUCAUUUUCUUUUGUUCUAAAUUUGUGUUCUUUAUUGGUAUCUCAACUUUUUCUUUGUCUAUGUUUGUUUGAGGUUCUGAUCGGGACCCAGAAGGCAAAAAGUUCUCUAACUUGGUUUCUACAAGGGAAUAAGUGUCUUCGAAAGGCUUCAAUUGGGGAGACACAGUGUCGUUACUGCGCGAAAGUGGAAGGAAAUUACAGUUAUGGAGUAGCCCAAGGUGCCUGAGAAUCUUUAUACUUGAUGUAACCUUCUAGAAUCUGGCAUCAAAUUCGUUGCACCCAAUUAGAAUUUUAGUCCAUUAAAGCAGAAAGAAGAUUGUAGUCUAUUAUCGGAACUAAUCAUAUAGUGGAAAUUCAAGUAUGACGAUGUUAGUAUGCUAUGGA